GAUGAACGCUGGCGGCGUGCUUAACACAUGCAAGUCGAACGGAAAGGCCCAAGCUUGCUUGGGUUCUCGAGUGGCGAACGGGUGAGUAACACGUGGGUGAUCUUCCCUGCACUUCGGGAUAAGCCUGGGAAACUGGGUCUAAUACCGGAUAGGACGAUGGUUUGGAUGCCAUUGUGGAAAGUUUUUUCGGUGUGGGAUGAGCUCGCGGCCUAUCAGCUUGUUGGUGGGGUAAUGGCCUACCAAGGCGUCGACGGGUAGCCGGCCUGGGAGGGUGUACGGCCACAUUGGGUCUUAGAGACGGCCCAGACUCCUACGGGAGGCAGCAGGGGGGAAUAUUGCACAAUGGGCGCAAGCCGGAUGCAGCGACGCCGCGUGGGGGAAGACGGCCUUCGGGUUGUAAACUCCCUUCGCUAGGGACGAAGCGUUUUGUGACGGUACUUGGAGAAGAAGCACCGGCUAACUACGUG
rnacentral:rRNA from 1 species